UACAGAGGUCCCAAGCGUUGUUCGGAUUCACUGGGCGUAAAGGGUGCGUAGGUGGUGGGGUAAGUCGGAUGUGAAAAGCUCGGAGCUCAACUCCGAAAUGGCAUUGGAAACUACCCUGCUAGAGGAUUGGAGGGGGGACUGGAAUACUUGGUGUAGCAGUGAAAUGCGUAGAUAUCAAGUGGAACACCAGUGGCGAAGGCGAGUCCCUGGACAAUACCUGACACUGAGGCACGAAAGCUAGGGGAGCAAACAGG
rnacentral:rRNA from 1 species